CUUCCUUUUCAUCCCCGAAGAGCGGAGUGAGGCAGCAGCGACGUCGAGUCCCCUCCAAGGUUCCGCGAACCCGGAGAGCGACGAGCGCGAGAGGGACGAAGAGAAGCAAGAGGAGCUCCAUCAUGGAGCGAUAGUAAUGCGCUCGAUCCUGUAGCCUCUUCUCUUGAUUUGCUUCCCUUUCUUGAAGCGGAUUCUUGAAUGUUCCUCUCCUCUGGGUUUGCUUCUGGAUACGAAAGAAGGAGUCCGAGAGGAAAGAGGAGAAGGAGCGGAAGGAGCUGCAAUCUGGAGGCAAGAUCGAGGUUCCCGGGAGAGAUGAGGAGAACGGGCAGAAGGAACUCGAAGACGUAGCUAAGAUCGUGGAACCCAAGAGGAACGAGCAGAACGUGCCGCGGGAUCUGGAGUACGGAGAUAAGCUAACAUCAAGGAAAGUGUCAUGCUUAAUUGUGUUGUUCAAAGCAGCAGCAUAUCUGGGAAAAGCUAGACAAAGAUGAAAUAGACCUUAUCUUUGCAAGUCUCGAGCAAUGUAAGACUAGAAACUCUCAGUUUGGUGAGGAUCGGACCAACUUCAAUGAAAUUUACUUGUUCUGCCCCUCUUUAAGGUGCAUCGUGUUAGACAACUUGAGGCAUAAGGAAUUCGUCGUCAGACUAUUUGGCCCACGAGUGACGGGAAUAAUCGCUUCCACAAAUAUAUCAAGGCUUUGUCGGAUCCACUAGGCGUGCAAAUUCACGUGGUGUACGUUGAUGGGAGACUGGACGAACAUGUGAACGCUCCGAUGCUGUCUUCUGAUGACUUCGAUCCCAAGGAUCCUGACGUCCCUGAUUCAGUGCCAAGCACCUCAGUCCCUGAUCUCCUUGCUGUGUAGGACCGGCAAUUAUUUCGAUGACGAGCACCAUGACAUUAUCUACACCUGUUCAGAUCGCAUGCAUAGCUGGGUAGUGCCACUAGUGAUUCUGCCACCACCACCCAUUAAGGUGAUCGGUCCCAUAUCAUUUCAACAUUGUUUUGCACCUGCUUUCUGCUUGUAAUCAAUCAAAGUCUGUCACCUGAAACCACACAUAGAAUGUGUGAUUUACAGCUCUAUUAAUCGUAGUGAUCGCCACUAGCCAGUCCAUCCCAUGCCAUGCGAUGAUGAAGAUGAUAGCAACCCGGAAAGUCAGGUUAGAUUAUCACGUGUAUGUAAAAUGUAUACACAC